UGGGGGGAAAUUAAUAUAAUAAAAUAAAUAAUAAAAAUAAUUAUAAAAAAUAAUUAAUGGGGGUUAAAGUAUUUUUUAGAAAAAAAUUUAUUAAUUUAUAGUUUAAUAGUAUUGUAAAAGAAUUUUGAAAUAAAGUUAAAUAUUAAUUAUUAUUUAAGUAAAUUUAAUUUAUUGUAUCUUGUGUAUCAGAGUUUAUUAAUAAGUAUUAAUAAAUAAAAAUAUCUCGAAUUUAAAAGAGAUAAUUAAUUAUUAAAGUUAAUGUGACAUAAUUAUUUUAAAUAAUUAAUUUGAAAUGAAAUGUUAAUCGUUUUUAAAAAUAUCUAGUUUUUUUAGAAAAAAAUUUAAUUUUAAAUUAAUUUAAUAAUUUUUUUAAAUUUGUUAUAUAAAAUUAUAUAUUUAAUUAAAUAUUUUAGGGGAUAAGCUUUAAAUUAAAUUUUUAUAAUUUUUAAUAAAAUAUUUAAAUAUUUUAAAAUUUAUAUUUUUUAUAAAUUAUAAUUUUUUAUAAAUAAUUUUAUUUAUUUUAAAAUUUAAAUUUAUAUUUAAAUUUAUAUAAAAAAAUAAUUUUUAAUAAUAAAAAAUUAGUUAUAAUGAUAAAAUUAGUAUAUAAAAAAAAAAUAAAAUAGAAUUAAUUAAAAUUAAUAAAAAGGAAUUCGGCAAAAAUUUAUAUUCACUUGUUUAUCAAAAACAUGUCUUUUUGUUAAUAAUAUAAAGUCUAAUCUGCCCACUGAAAUUAUUUAAAGGGCUGCAGUAUAUUGACUGUACAAAGGUAGCAUAAUAAAUAGUCUUUUAAUUGAAGACUUGUAUGAAUGAUUUGAUGAGAUAUAAUCUGUCUCUUUAUUAAAAUUAGAAUUUAAUUUUUUAGUUAAAAAGCUAAAAUAAUUAUAAAAGACGAGAAGACCCUAUAGAGUUUUAUAAUUUUAUAAUUUUAAUUUUUUUAUUAAUUUUAAAUAUUAAAAUUAUAAAAUUAUUUUGUUGGGGUGAUAAAAAAAUUUAUUAAACUUUUUUUAAAAAAAUUACAUUAAUUUAUGAAUAAUUGAUCCAUAAUUUAUGAUUAUAAGAAUAAAUUACCUUAGGGAUAACAGCGUAAUUUUUUUUUUUAGUUCUUAUAAAAAGAAAAGUUUGCGACCUCGAUGUUGGAUUAAGAUAAAAUUUAAAUGCAAAAGUUUAAAAUUUUUGAUCUGUUCGAUCAUUAAAAUCUUACAUGAUCUGAGUUCAAACCGGUGUGAGCCAGGUUGGUUUCUAUCUUUAUAAAAAUAAAAUAGUUUAGUACGAAAGGAUCAAUUAUUUUAAAUAAUUUAAUUAAAAGAAUAUUUUUAAUUUAAUUAUAA
rnacentral:rRNA from 1 species